CUCGCUUCUCUGCUUUUUGGCUAAGAUCAAGUGUAGCAUCUGUUCUUAUCAGGUAGUCCACUGGUGGGAAUGGAUGGCUACAUGGAGGAGCAGGUGUACCAGGGCAUUCAGGGGCUGGUGCCCCGAACCCUGCUCAAUGGGUGCCCUGAUGUGACCUGUUUCCUCUGGGUCCCUCCUUAAGGCC